CAGUCGCCGCGGUAACACGUAGGGUGCAAGCGUUAAUCGGAAUUACUGGUCGUAAAGCGUGCGCAGGCGGUUCUAUAAGACAGAUGUGAAAUCCCCGGGCUCAACCUGGGAACUGCAUUUGUGACUGUAGAGCUCGAGUACGGUAGAGGGGGAUGGAAUUCCGCGUGUAGCAGUGAAAUGCGUAGAUAUGCGGAGGAACACCGAUGGCGAAGGCAAUCCCCUGGACCUGUACUGACGCUCAUGCACGAAAGCGUGGGGAGCAAACAGGAUUAGAUACCCCUGUAGUCCCUGUCUCUUAUAC
rnacentral:rRNA from 1 species